GUCUACGGCCACGCAAUCCUGAACAAGCCAGAUCCUGUCUGAUCUCAGAAGCUUAAGCAGGGUUGGGCCUGUUUUGUACUUGGAUGGGAGACCACCUAGGAAGAUCAGGUGCUGUAGGUG
rnacentral:rRNA from 1 species